UCGAGCGCGAGGCCGAGUCUCGAACGCGGUGUCGCGGCCCCAGCCCCCCCCCACCUCCUUCCUCGAGACCGAGAGAGAGAGAGAAGAGGGCAGGAAGGGGGAAAAAGGGGGGGGGCUCCCCGCGUCGUCCGAAGCCGAAGCUGCGCAGCGGUCCCGGCUCCUUGCCCGCGGCGUCGCGGGAAGGGCCGGCCGCCGGGGUCGGCCGUUGCCGCGGGGCGUCCCGCCUCUCCCGCCCGGCGGGCGGAGGCGGUUAGCCCCGCGCCUGCGCGGUGCCGUUCCCCGCCCCAGGCGCCGCCGGGCGCGCCACGUCGCCGGCCGCCGCCGCCGCCGGCGCCCGUCGCCGCCACGCCGCCGCCGCCGGCACGUCCGUGAUGCCGCUCCCGCGGGUCGGAGCGGUGAAAGAGCCGGGGCGGUCAGGGGUUGGCGGAGGCGGUCCGCCGGCGGGGGGUCCGGGCGUCCGCGCGCCGGUGCGCGUUACGGUGGCGCCGCCGUGGGUGGCGGC
rnacentral:misc_RNA from 1 species